UUUCUUAGUAGAACAGUAUUUUACUGUUCCAGAUCAAUGCUCCCAAUUUUGGCUUGUUUUCGCCUCUGUUGUCACCUCUUCAAAUUUCUUCACAAAUGCCUAGGUGACUUAAGUUGAUGCAAUUGUUGGAGAAUCUGUUUAUUUCAGUCGCUGAAGCAACAACAAGACAACAUGCUACUGUUCUUCUUGCUUUUUGGCGCUUCUCUACCGUUCUUUCAUUGUGUCGAAAAAACACCAAACCAGCUAACGAGCGAAGAUUUGCGUGUUCUGAACGAAACUAUAGAAAAAUUUGGACCCCCUCAAGACUACAAACAAUUGGGGUUGCCAGGCCCAGAAAUAGAAACUGCUAAAAUCAAACUUCUACAUAAGAAUAAAUUAGAAUCUGAUGAAGCAAAAAAUUAUACCUUGAGGAUUCGUACAAUAGCUCCAAGGUUUAGUUACAAUGGACGUUACGAAGAAUCUGUAAUACACAAAAUAAACGGUGGCUUCGAAGAGUUUCCAGUUAUUAAAGGCCAGUUUGGAGAACAUUUUCCUAGCAAUACCACUAGUGACGUAUUUUACAUCCGUACUAUUGGUUACACACUCGAUGAGAAAGGUUAUCGACAGUUCUUGUUGGAUCUUACUGCCGUUAAAAUAAUCCAAAAGCUUGCUCCCUCCCUGAUUAUUGAAGGCAUACCUAUCUCUUCUACCGUUCUUAUCACACUGACAGGAGGAAAUACGCUUGGAUAACUUUUAAGUUGUUUUGGAAUUGCACCAGAAUUAUUUUUUGUAAAAUAAAAUAAAAUUUUGGGAGAAAGGAAUAAAUAAAGAAAAAAUUCCAAAAGUUGAUAAAAAUAAACUAAAAAACAAAAAUGUGAAUUUAUAAGAACCCAAAAACAUAAAGAGAGCAAUUUAUCAUACACAAAAAACGAAAAACACUAAUGUAGAGACCAAUGUUUCGGAAUUUAUUUUAUUCCUUCUUCAGGUCAUCAAUUUGCAAAUUAUGACACGUGAGACCGGUAUAUUAAUAAUUAAUUAAAGCAAGAAAUUAGUUAGCUCUCUUAACAUUUACAAAAACCUAAUUGAAGGAAAUUUAUUAAAUAAACAAAUAAUUUGGAGAAAUACAUCAGUAAGUUACUCUUAUCAUUACACAAUAAAACUGGGAAAUCCUAGAUGACAAAAAAGGAUCAACCAAUUGGUAUACUAGGUGUUCCCAGUUUUAUGGCAAGGGCAAAAAUAAAUAUUUGUAGUUGAGUAAAAAAAUAAAUUAAUAGUCUAAAGUCUAAACGAUAAGGAAUUAUUUUGCAAAAUUUUUAAGGUAUUGCCAAUUUUACGAUUUUUUUUGUAAGUCAUUGAAGUAUGGCCAAUUUCCUCCAAUUUUUUGAACCGUAAUUGCAAAAAUUAAAUUGUGCCAAAGUUGAUAGGUUUCGAGUAAUUAACACUUUAAUAUUGGAGAACUAAAAGCUCGAAUAAUUUAUGGCGGGUUUUGUGGUAUUGUGGUGAUCAGGUCAGAAUUCCUUGACAAUAGACCGCUUUAAUUCGGAAUGAUUGUAAACAUCAUAGCGAACCUUUUUUUAUUGUCAGGGAAUUCUGACCUAAUCACCUAUUACCACAAAGCCUGCCACAAAUUAUUGAAGCAUUAUGAUCAUCAAUAUUAAAACGUUAAUUACUCAAAAUCUAUUAAUUUUCGUAUAAUUCUAUUUUACCAAUUACAACUCUAAAAACUGAAGAAAUAUGCCAAUAACUCAAACCAAAUUUUUACCAAAAUUGGUUUUAACCUAAAUUGGUUCUCACAGCAAUACGUUAAAAAUUUUGAACAACAUCAAAGAAUCAAAUGAUAGUAAUUUCCAACCGUAUAGACUAUUAUUUUUUUAUUUAACUCGACUAGAAAUAUUUAUUUUUGCCUUGGCCAUAAAACUUGGAACACCCAAUUCUUGUAGAAACGAUAAGUAGUUUUAAUUUUGUCUCAACUAAACAAACCGCACUGAAGGUGGCUCGGGACCGACGACCAGAUUAUAAUAAUCAGUGACAAAACCCGUUACACAAAGGAAGAAAUCCUCUCUUUACUUCAUUACUGCCAACUCGAAAAAAAUCCCACAUCUAAAAUGGAAAAAAAUCAUAACUAUCAUAAUAUUUUAAGACUUCUUUUAAUAUCUAAAUCCUAGAUUAUAAACACAAUUUUAAAACACGUUUCCCAUAUCAACGCGUUUUUACUAUUUAAAAACAUGCCUCCCAUAGCAAUUAAAUUUAAUAUAAAACACGUUUAAAUUAAAAAAAAAUUUAAAAAAUAAUUUAAAUUAGGACACGUUUUGUUCCAACAAAAAAAAUUGGAAUAACACUCGCUGACGCUCAAACUUUAAGCUUGUGUUUUCGCACUUGUAUUAUUAAUAACUAUAAACUUGGACAUUUGAUAUAUUCUCCUGUUUUAUUAUCUAUAAGCGUGACCUAAAUCAAUUUUUUGUGUAUGGACAGGACACCAAUAUUUUCAGCAUUUAUCUAUUUAAAAUCGAAAAUAAGGAUAUUUAGUUGUAUGUUCAGUAAAAUAAUAACCUAAUUGACGUAGAUUAUCUGUCAAGUGACGUAAACUGAUGCACUUUUGUGCAACAAUCUGUUUAUUCCACCCACGGAAGCAACAGCAAAACAACAUGAUUUUGUUUUACUUCAUAUUUGGAUUUUGUCUCAUUCCGGCCUUUAUUUGUGACGAAGAACCAACAAUUGAAGAUUUGCACGUACUAAACGUAACAAUAGCAAAAUAUGGUCCUCUCAAAAACUACCAACAGCUGGGUUUACCAGGCCCCGAAAUAAAAACUGACAAAAAUAAAUUUUCACUGGCGAAUAUAUUCGAAUCUGGUAAAGCGGAGAAUUAUACUUUGAGGGUUCGUACAAUAACUCCAGACUUCAGUUACAAUGCACGUUAUGAAGAAACCAAAUUGCAAAAAGUUAACGACAGUUUCGAGCAUUUUCCGGUAAUUAAAGGCCAGUUUGGAGAACAUUUUCUCAGAGAAGAUGGAGGUUUUUACAUUCGUACUAUUGGUUACGUUCUGGACGAUAAAGGGUUUCAUGAAUUUUUCUUGGAUCUUACCACAGCUGUAACACAGACAUUUCUUCCACUUUUGGGUACAGGCACUGUUCCUAUUUCUUCAACAGUACUUAUUACACUGAACGGAGGAAAUUCACUUGGCUAGAGCCUAACCUGUUUUGGAUUGAUCUUAUAAUAAAUAAACACAACACCCAGUUAUUUGUUUAUUUUUGCUCAUACAUUAAUUAGUGUGCAGACCAGUCGCUUGACAAGGUUUUUGCACUUGGUACAAGGUAAAGUUAUGAAGCUCUUAACUGGUUUGAUUUGUAUUGUAUUUAAACAGUGGAUAAGUUAACAUCAUGAAAUUGCUAAUCCUUGGUCACUUAUUCCUGUCCCUACAUUUUGGUAGAGGUGACAAUGAACCAAAUGCACCUAAACCGGAAGAAAUGGAUCAAGACUUGCGCGUAGUGAAUGAAACAAUCGCAAAAUACGGUCCUCCAAAAGAUUACAAAAUCUUCAAUUUACCGGGACCCGAAAUAUUGGUAGACGAUAACUUGCUGUUGCACCCAGUCAGGUUCAAUGUGUCAGCAAAUUCCGAAAACUAUACCAUUUGGAUUCGCACUGUGACGAAUAAUUUUAGUUACAAUAGCCGUUACGAACAAACCGAAUUGCAACACAUCGGCUUAGAAAGCUUUCCAGUGGUUAAAGGCCAGUUUGGUGAACACUUCAUACGCAAAAGUGGGAGUUUUUACAUUCGUACUAUUGGCUACGUACUGGACCGAAAUGGCUACCAGGAAUUUUUAAUAGAUAUUUCGAAAACUGAAACUACUGUGAAGGAAUUUGUUCCACCACUUGUUGAAAGUGACAUUUAUGUUGAUCGUCGUCCUCCAGGAAAAAUACAAAUUUCGUCGACAGUUUUGGCAACUUUGGUGGGAGGAAAUUCACUUGGAUAGAAACUGAGCUCUUUCGAAUUGUACUCAUCCAAUUUUAUGCAAAAUCAAAGAAAAUAAAUCCAAAUCUGUCCUCAA